rnacentral:rRNA from 1 species
ACACGACUACAUUAGAUACCCGGGUAGUCCCAGCCCUAAACGAUGCGCGUUAGGUGUAUCGGUGACCACGAGUCACCGAGGUGCCGAAGGGAAACCGUGAAACGUGCCGCCUGGGAAGUACGGUCGCAAGGCUGAAACUUAAAGGAAUUGGCGGGGAGCACCACAACGGGUGGAGCCUGCGGUUUAAUUGGACUCAACGCCGGGAAGCUCACCGGAUAAGACAGCGGAAUGAUUGCCGGGCUGAAGACCCUGCAUGACCAGCUG